rnacentral:rRNA from 1 species
UACGUAGGUGACCAGCGUUUGUCCGGAUUUACUGGGCGUAAAGAGCGCGCAGGCGGUCGUUCAAGUCGAGUGUGAAAGCCCCCGGCUCAACUGGGGAGGGUCAUUCGAUACUGAUCGACUGGAAGGCAGGAGAGGGAAGCGGAAUUCCCGGUGUAGUGGUGAAAUGCGUAGAUAUCGGGAGGAACACCAGUGGCGAAGGCGGCUUCCUGGCCUGUUCUUGACGCUGAGG